rnacentral:rRNA from 1 species
GACGAACGCUGGCGGCGUGCUUAACACAUGCAAGUCGAACGGAAAGGCCCCUUUGGGGGUACUCGAGUGGCGAACGGGUGAGUAACACGUGAGUAACCUGCCCUUGACUUCGGGAUAACUUCAGGAAACUGGGGCUAAUACCGGAUAGGAAUCCUUGCUGCAUGGUGGGGGUUGGAAAGCUUCGGCGGUUUUGGAUGGACUCGCGGCUUAUCAGCUUGUUGGUGGGGUAGUGGCUUACCAAGGCGUUGACGGGUAGCCGGCCUGAGAGGGCGACCGGCCACAUUGGGACUGAGAUACGGCCCAGACUCCUACGGUAGGCAGCAGUGGGGAAUAUUGCACAAUGGGCGGAAGCCUGAUGCAGCAACGCCGCGUGCGGGAUGACGGCCUUCGUGUUGUAAACCGCUUUCAGCAGGGGCGAAGCUUGUGGUGACGUUACCUGCAGAAGAAGCACCGGCUAACUACGUG